AAGUCCUCAUGGCCCUUAUAGUGGGGCUACACACGUCAUACAAUGGCCGGUACAGAGGGUAGCCAACCCGCGAGGGGAGCCAAUCCCACAAAGCCGGUCGUAGCCCGGAUCGCAGUCUGCAACUCGACUGCGUGAAGUCGGAAUCGCUAGUAAUCGCGGAUCAGCAUGUCGCGGUGAAUUACCGGUUCCCGGGUUCUU
rnacentral:rRNA from 1 species